rnacentral:rRNA from 1 species
UACGUAGGGGGCGAGCGUUGUCCGGAAUCAUUGGGCGUAAAGCGCGUGUAGGCGGCCCGGUAAGUCCGCUGUGAAAGUCCAGGGCUCAACCCUGGGAUGCCGGUGGAUACUGUCGGGCUCGAGUCCGGAAGAGGCGAGUGGAAUUCCUGGUGUAGCGGUGAAAUGCGCAGAUAUCAGGAGGAACACCAAUGGCGAAGGCAGCUCGCUGGGACGUGACUGACGCUGAGACGCGAAAGCUAGGGGAGCGAACGGG